rnacentral:siRNA from 1 species
UCUUGUAAGCCUAAGUAGUGU